ACGAACGCUGGCGGCGUGCUUAACACAUGCAAGUCGUACGGAAAGGCCCUGCUUUUGUGGGGUGCUCGAGUGGCGAACGGGUGAUUAACACGUGAGUAACCUGCCCUUGACUUUGGGAUAACUUCAGGAAACUGGGGCUAAUACCGGAUAGGAGCUCCUGCUGCUUGGUGGGGUUUGGAAAGCUUCGGCGGUUGGGGAUGGACUCGCGGCUUAUCAGCUUGUUGGUGGGGUAGUGGCUUACCAAGUCUUUGACGGGUAGCCGGCCUGAGAGGGUGACCGGCCACAUUGGGACUGAGAUACGGCCCAGACUCCUACGGGAGGCAGCAGUGGGGAAUAUUGCACAAUGGGCGGAAGCCUGAUGCAGCAACGCCGCGUGCGGGAUGACGGCCUUCGGGUUGUAAACCGCUUUCGCCUGUGACGAAGCGUGAGUGACGGUAAUGGGUAAAGAAGCACCGGCUAACUACGUG
rnacentral:rRNA from 1 species